GACGAACGCUGGCGGCGUGCUUAACACAUGCAAGUCGAACGGAAAGGCCUGUCCUUCCUUGUGUUGGACGGGUACUCGAGUGGCGAACGGGUGAGUAACACGUGAGUGAUCUGCCCCCAACUUGGGUAUAAGCCUGGGAAACUGGGUCUAAUUCCCGAUAGGACUGCAGGGUGGUGCCUGUGGUGGAAAACGAUUUUCUAGUGGUUGGGGAUGAGCUCGCGGCCUAUCAGCUUGUUGGUGGGGUAAUGGCCUACCAAGGCGGCGACGGGUAGCCGGCCUGGGAGGGUGGACGGCCACAUUGGGACUGAGAUACGGCCCAGACUCCUACGGGAGGCAGCAGUGGGGAAUAUUGCACAAUGGGCGGAAGCCUGAUGCAGCGACGCCGCGUGGGGGAUGACGGCCUUCGGGUUGUAAACUCCUUUCGACCGCGAGGAAGCCGCCUGGUUGGAAGGGUGGUGACGGUAGUGGUAGAAGAAGCACCGGCUAACUACGUG
rnacentral:rRNA from 1 species